rnacentral:rRNA from 1 species
UACAGAGGUCCCAAGCGUUGUUCGGAUUCACUGGGCGUAAAGGGCGCGUAGGCGGCGCAAGCAGUCGAUCGUGAAAGUCCGGAGCUCAACUCCGGAUCGGCGGUCGAUACUCUCGUGCUUGAGCACUGUAGAGGCAGAUGGAAUUCCGGGUGUAGCGGUGGAAUGCGUAGAGAUCCGGAAGAACACCGGUGGCGAAGGCGGUCUGCUGGGCAGUUGCUGACGCUGAGGCGCGACAGCGUGGGGAGCAAACAGG